rnacentral:rRNA from 1 species
UACGUAGGGGGCUGGCGUUGUCCGGAUUUAUUGGGCGUAAAGAGCGUGUAGGCGGCCAUGUAGGUCCGGUGUGAAAACUCGAGGCUUAACCUCGAGAUGUCAUCGGAAACCAUUUGGCUAGAGUCCGGAAGAGGAGAGUGGAAUUCCUGGUGUAGCGGUGAAAUGCGCAGAUAUCAGGAAGAACACCAAUGGCGAAGGCAGCUCUCUGGGGACGGUACUGACGCUGAGACGCGAAAGCGUGGGGAGCGAACAGG